UACGUAGGUGGCAAGCGUUGUCCGGAAUUACUGGGUGUAAAGCGCGUGUAGGCGGGCGGCCAAGUCUGCUUUGAAAUCGCCCGGCUCAACUGGGCGGGGUCGGUGGAAACUGGUCACCUGGAGGGCGGUAGAGGCGAGUGGAAUUCCCGGUGUAGUGGUGAAAUGCGUAGAGAUCGGGAGGAACACCAGUGGCGAAGGCGGCUCGCUGGGCCGGACCUGACGCUGAGACGCGAAGGCGUGGGGAGCGAACGGG
rnacentral:rRNA from 1 species